rnacentral:rRNA from 1 species
UACGUAGGGGGCAAGCGUUAUCCGGAUUUACUGGGUGUAAAGGGAGCGUAGACGGAAUGGCAAGUCUGAAGUGAAAUGCCCGGGCUCAACCCGGGAACUGCUUUGGAAACUGUCGAUCUGGAGUGUUGGAGAGGUAAGUGGAAUUCCUGGUGUAGCGGUGAAAUGCGUAGAGAUCAGGAAGAACACCGGAGGCGAAGGCGGCUUACUGGACAAAGACUGACGUUGAGGCUCGAAAGCGUGGGAAGCAAACAGGAUUAGAUACCCUGGUAGUCAAGGC